rnacentral:rRNA from 1 species
UACCAUGCAGUCGAGCGGUAACAGGUCUUCGGAUGCUGACGAGCGGCGGACGGGUGAGUCACUCGUAGGAACCUGCCUGAUAGUGGGGGAUAGCCCGGCGAAAGCCGGAUUAAUACCGCAUACGCUCUACGGAGGAAAGGGGGCUUCGGCUCCCGCUAUCAGAUGGGCCUGCGUAGGAUUAGCUAGUUGGUAGGGUAAAGGCCUACCAAGGCGACGAUCCUUAGCUGGUCUGAGAGGAUGAUCAGCCACACUGGGACUGAGACACGGCCCAGACUCCUACGGGAGGCAGCAGUGGGGAAUAUUGGACAAUGGGGGAAACCCUGAUCCAGCCAUGCCGCGUGUGUGAAGAAGGCCUUAGGGUUGUAAAGCACUUUCAGUGGGGAGGAAGGCUUGGUGGUUAAUACCCAUCAGGAUUGACGUUACCCACAGAAGAAGCACCGGCUAACUCCGUGCCAGCAGCCGCGGUAAUACGGAGGGUGCGAGCGUUAAUCGGAAUUACUGGGCGUAAAG